rnacentral:tRNA from 1 species
GCAGGUGUAGUUUAGUGGUAGAACUUCAGCCUUCCAAGCUGACCGUGUGGGUUCGAUUCCCAUCACCUGCUCCA